rnacentral:lncRNA from 1 species
CUGCGGAAAGACCAGAGAUAACUUUUCCUACUUCAGUGAUUUAAUUUUGAGCUUUUAGGUGGUCUGAAGCUGAGACACAGGUACAUCCGGGAAGCCGCAUCAGCCAACGAGUAGAGCUAACAGGGACCACACCACUGCGCUCGUCUUUGGGAAGCUGACAAUACAGAAGUCUGUAUGAUUUCAUGCUUUUAUCAUCACAUAAUUCUGUGAUGCCCAGGACUGGUAUGUUCGUGCUCUAGGAACUC